UAUCAAGUCUGUCAACUUUAUAAAACACAAAGAAUUUACAGAGAAGGGAAAGAAAGCUAAAUCAAAUGUGUUUCUACAUGCAUGGGAACUGUUGAGUCACAGCCUGAACCACUGAUUGAGCACCUGGGGAAAGGACUGGAUCAGCCCUGGGAGCACAGGAGAAAGCAAUUCAGCUGUGAGACAGGAAGGGGUAGAACCUAGCUGCACCUCUUUUAGAUCUCAUUGAAGGCCUGACUGCUACUGGGGAAGGGUCUUUUUCUGGAGACAGCUCCUUGCUGAAGCUUUCCCCUGUGAACCUGGAAUCUUCUGGUACAGCCUUAAGUGAGAUGACUCUGACUUAAGAGGAUGACUGGCUGAAAAACCAUCAGAAAUUAAACCUCAGCAGGCAUCAAGAGUACAGCCAGUGUGAAACAAGUUCUAAUAAAUGCUUUCUGGACAGGAUAAGGACCAGAACACUCAUGGUUGUCCAAGUACAAGCAUACGGAUGUCUCUCUUAAAUC